UACGGGGGGGGCAAGCGUUGUUCGGAAUUACUGGGCGUAAAGGGCGCGUAGGCGGCCUGCUAAGUCACACGUGAAAUCCCUCGGCUCAACCGGGGAACUGCGUGUGAUACUGGCGGGCUUGAAUUCGGGAGAGGGAUGUGGAAUUCCAGGUGUAGCGGUGAAAUGCGUAGAUAUCUGGAGGAACACCGGUGGCGAAGGCGGCAUUCUGGACCGACAUUGACGCUCAUGCACGAAAGCGUGGGGAGCAAACAGG
rnacentral:rRNA from 1 species